GGAGUAAGGUGUUGACCGAACCGGGACUUCUAAUCCAGGGUUUAUUUUUAUUUACUUCU
rnacentral:tRNA from 1 species